GUCUUGAUGGUGUAGUCGGUUAUCACGUCGGUCUCAUACGAAUGUAUGAUCAGUCCCCAGGACUGAGCGAUCCGAAGGCCGCGAGUUCGAUUCUCGCUCGAGACA